rnacentral:rRNA from 1 species
AGAGUUUGAUCCUGGCUCAGGACGAACGCUGGCGGCGUGCCUAACACAUGCAAGUCGAGCGGAGACAGUGAGUAGCUUGCUACGAGCUGUUUUAGCGGCGGACGGGUGAGUAACGCGUGAGCAACCUUUCCCAGACAGGGGAAUAACACACCGAAAGGUGUACUAAUACCGCAUAAGACCACGGGAUCACAUGGUUCUGGGGUAAAAGAAUUAUCGGUUUGGGGUGGGCUCGCGUCCGAUUAGGUAGUUGGUGAGGUGACGGCCCACCAAGCCGACGAUCGGUAGCCGACCUGAGAGGGUGAUCGGCCACAUUGGGACUGAGACACGGCCCAAACUCCUACGGGAGGCAGCAGUGGGGAAUAUUGCACAAUGGGGGAAACCCUGAUGCAGCGACGCCGCGUGAGCGAAGAAGUAUUUCGGUAUGUAAAGCUCUAUCAGCAGGGAAGAAAAUGACGGUACCUGACUAAGAAGCCCCGGCUAACUACGUGCCAGCAGCCGCGGUAAUACGUAGGGGGCAAGCGUUGUCCGGAAUAAUUGGGCGUAAAGGGCGCGUAGGCGGCUCGGUAAGUCUGGAGUGAAAGUCCUGCUUUUAAGGUGGGAAUUGCUUUGGAUACUGUCGGGCUUGAGUGCAGGAGAGGUUAGUGGAAUUCCCAGUGUAGCGGUGAAAUGCGUAGAGAUUGGGAGGAACACCAGUGGCGAAGGCGACUAACUGGACUGUAACUGACGCUGAGGCGCGAAAGUGUGGGGAGCAAACAGGAUUAGAUACCCUGGUAGUCCACACUGUAAACG